AGGCAGCAGUGGGGAAUAUUGCACAAUGGGCGCAAGCCUGAUGCAGCCAUGCCGCGUGUAUGAAGAAGGCCUUCGGGUUGUAAAGUACUUUCAGCAGUGAGGAAGGUGGAGUCGUUAAUAGCGGCCUCAUUUGACGUUAGCUGCAGAAGAAGCACCGGCUAACUCCGUGCCAGCAGCCGCGGUAAUACGGAGGGUGCGAGCGUUAAUCGGAAUUACUGGGCGUAAAGCGCAUGCAGGUGGUUUGUUAAGUCAGAUGUGAAAGCCCGGGGCUCAACCUCGGAAUUGCAUUUGAAACUGGCAGACUAGAGUACUGUAGAGGGGGUAGAAUUUCAGGUGUAGCGGUGAAAAUGCGUAGAGAUCUGAAGGAAUACCGGUGGCGAAGGCGGCCCCCUGGACAGAUACUGACACUCAGAUGCGAAAGCGUGGGGAGCAAACAGGAUUAGAUACCCUGGUAG
rnacentral:rRNA from 1 species